rnacentral:rRNA from 1 species
AUUGAACGCUGGCGGCAUGCCUUACACAUGCAAGUCGAACGGCAGCGCGGGCUUCGGCCUGGCGGCGAGUGGCGGACGGGUGAGUAAUGCAUCGGAACGUGCCCAGGAGUGGGGGAUAACGUAGCGAAAGUUACGCUAAUACCGCAUACGUACUGAGGUAGAAAGCGGGGGAUCGUAAGACCUCGCGCUCAUGGAGCGGCCGAUGUCGGAUUAGCUAGUUGGCGGGGUAAAAGCCCACCAAGGCGACGAUCCGUAGCUGGUCUGAGAGGACGACCAGCCACGCUGGGACUGAGACACGGCCCAGACUCCUACGGGAGGCAGCAGUGGGGAAUCUUGGACAAUGGGGGAAACCCUGAUCCAGCAAUGCCGCGUGUGGGAUGAAGGCCCUCGGGUUGUAAACCACUUUUGGCAGGAAAGAAAUCGCCUGUGCUAAUACCACGGGCGGAUGACGGUACCUGCAGAAUAAGCACCGGCUAACUACGUGCCAGCAGCCGCGGUAA